rnacentral:misc_RNA from 1 species
AUAUAUCAACCUCUUCAGCUUUUGUUUGUUGAGUGUUGGAUGUGGGGGACCUUUUUGCUGGUCUUUUCAAGGUCAGCUCCCCUAAAAUGUAUUAGCGGAACAAUUUGUUGACCGUUCAUUGGUGUGAUAAUUAUCUACGCUAUUGACGUGAGACAGUUCAGCUUCUAACAGUCCAUUGACUUGGACAAUUUUUAUUA